CCAGCUCUAAGUUUAGCGGAUUGUCACCGAUUACACCAGCAAAUCGGUAUAGGCUUCCGGGAGGUAUGACACUACUGGACUUAAUGGCUACACCGCCCGAUAGGAAGCCUUUGAUCUUUGAACCACCUGAGUUCCUCGAUGUGCCGCUCGUGCCCAAUGAGAAGGAAGUCUUCAAUGAUAUUGUCGAAAAGGAAUUUAAAGGGGCGAAGGACACGGUCACAAUGUCCGAUGAGAUGGAUUCUGAACCGAAAGAGUAAGCAAAAAAGUUUGAGGCCAAGCUUCUGGAAGAUUUGUUGCAACCCCUGCCUGUGGACAAUCUUCCGGAAGAAGUGCCCAAACCCAAGAGAACAAAGAGAAAGGCGGAGCGGUCAGAUGUAGUGUCAAGGAAAAAGCUUGCUAGCACAAGAGGGAGAGGCUUGCCACCGGUGGUGCCCAAAUCCAAUACUGCAAAGGAGCAAGAUGAGGGAAAGGUAGAGCCGCUUCCUGGUGCAGCAGCGACCAAAGUGUAUGCGAGGAAGUUUACAGAAAAAUCAGAUACCAUCCCAAAACAAGCUGAGACUGCAACCCAAACACUUGGUGAUGGGCGCACGGAAGCUAUGCAUAAAGCAGCAGUAGAAAAGCGUGUCGACAACUUGAAGGACAGCAAAGGUUUCAAGGAUGCACCCGAUGCUCCAAGCUUCUCACUGGGAUUUACAGACGAUGAGGAUUCUCAAGAAAUGGACAAGGGUCAACUUGCAAGAGAAGAUGAACUGUACAGCAUCAUAUGCAGACACACCAGGCACGAAGAGAGGUAUGGCAAUAUACCUUGAUCUUAUCCCCCCAUCUUUUUUUCCCGCUCAUCAGUCAUGGAGAAAACCUUUUUCUUGUUUGGCAGCACAAU